rnacentral:rRNA from 1 species
CUUUGAUUCUGGCUCAGGAUGAACGCUAGCUACAGGCUUAACACAUGCAAGUCGAGGGGCAGCGGGAUUGAAGCUUGCUUCAAUUGCCGGCGGCCGGCGCACGGGUGAGUAACGCGUAUCCAACCUUCCGUACACUCAGGGAUAGCCUUUCGAAAGAAAGAUUAAUACCUGAUAGUAUCUUAAGCACACAUGUAAUUAAGAUUAAAGAUUUAUCGGUGUACGAUGGGGAUGCGUUCCAUUAGGUAGUAGGCGGGGUAACGGCCCACCUAGCCAACGAUGGAUAGGGGUUCUGAGAGGAAGGUCCCCCACAUUGGAACUGAGACACGGUCCAAACUCCUACGGGAGGCAGCAGUGAGGAAUAUUGGUCAAUGGACGAGAGUCUGAACCAGCCAAGUAGCGUGAAGGAUGAAGGUCCUACGGAUUGUAAACUUCUUUUAUAAGGGAAUAAGCCCUCCCACGUGUGGGAGCUUGUAUGUACCUUAUGAAUAAGCAUCGGCUAACUCCGUGCCAGCAGCCGCGGUAAUACGG